AAGGCUGAAUAUAACCAAUCAGGUGCUGGUGGCCCCCAAGCUCCUCCACUUGACCCAGUAGACAUGAAAGUUGAGGAAUUAUUAGGGGAGAAGAAUGCAACUGUGAUAGGUGUGAUUCAGAAUGAUCUCGGCUUUCAUACAUUGAGGAAGCUGCAGACCCAGCAACGGCAGGAAGACACUGAAGAGUUGGGAAAAGAACCACCCCAGCAACAGGUAGAGGAUGAUAGUGAACUCCCCCAGCUUCAUUGGCAAAGUGUCCAAGUCCAGCCCCAACCACAACAAUCUUCGCACAACCCCAGCACAAAGAACUCUUGGAGGAUGGGUCCUUUAUAGAAUGCACCAUAACUGAACCUGAAAUCUCUAAGGCCCAACCAAGUAUAUCAACACCAAAACUAAGAAAGUGUUCAAGUGUCAGUGCUGAGUAUGAACAAUACAAAGCUGAAAAACGCAAAUUGAAACUUGAAAAGGAAAAGCUUAAAAUUGAAAAAAGAAAAGUAAAAUUGUUAGCAUUGAAGCGAAACAUUGAACUUAAACAGAAGUUAAUAAUGGCUGAAAUUGAAUAUUACCAGUCUUUGACAGCAAAAAUAUGAAAAAUUAAUAAGUUAAUUGUAUAGGCUUCAUUUUUGGUACAGUAGAAAUUUAUGCUGAGGAAAUGAAAAUAUAUUAUUUUAUUUAUUAAGAUUUUACAGUAUACUGGAGUAUUAUUAACAAGAUUGGAUCUCAUGAAGAUUGUCCACCCCAGAGUACCCAACUGAACAUUGUCCACCCCAGCUGCUCUCUCAUGAAGAUUGUCCACCCCAGCCGCUCUCGGCAUCCAACACCAAAGUUUAGGUUAGGUUAGGGAAUGGUCGGGUCAGCUGAAGAUUGUCCACCCUAACAUGCUUGGGGUGGACAAUCUUCAUGAGAUUCACAAUAUUAUAUACUGUAGCAUGUAUGUAAAGGAAAAAAAUACAAAUUAUAUUAUUUUAUAAACUGUAUUUGUUUCAAUUCAUUUUAUCUUUCACUUUUGACUAUAAGGGGAAAAAAAAAUUGUUAGUAGAGAGAGAGCACUGCAACAGCAUUCACACUUUCAUGAUACCUCACUCAGCCACUGGUCUGCUGCAAUAUAAAUUAAUGUACAAAAAUUUAGUAGUUUAGAAAAUAAGACUGGCACCAAUCACAAAUAUAUAUGCACAGUACUGCAUCUCUGAUCAAGGGUAAUUAAGUACAGUACUGUACUGUACUUAAACAUUUAUUAAUUUAGUGAACAUAUAUUGUAAUAUAUACAGUAUACUGUAUUGUACAGUAUACAGUAUAGUACAUUCAGAAAAGCUGAUAAGGAUAAGUAGCACAUACCUGAAAUGAAGAUUGGCAAUAUAAUCUCGAAAUGGAUAUCCGUUACGGCCAGCUGGUCUACCAGGAUUACGAGGUAUCCCAGCUUCACCUGGCUCUUCUUCAUCUGCACCUACGUCCCCUUCAGCUGUAUCGUGGAACAGUUCAUCUUCCUCGUUGAUAGGCAGUGGAAUGUUAAACUGCUUGCACAUGUUGUGGAGCAGAGCACAGACAUAGACGAUUCUGCAUGUCUUCUCUGGGGACAAUCGUACUUCACCAUGAUGUACAUGGAACCGUCGCUUGAGCUGGCCAAUCCCCCUCUCUACUACACAACGUGUCUUCUUGUGUGCUCUGCAAGAAUUGUUAACCAUCAUAAGGUGAGGUAUUGCAGUAUAUACAGUAGCAUCUAUAAGCUCCAUAGUGUUAAAGAGGAAAUCUGUACUGAAGAGGAAUUCUAUACUGUAUUGGUAUUUUGGUUGUUAUCACAUUAAGUAAUGACUACUACCUAGACUGGAGAGGACAAUACCUCCUUUAAAAUAAACUGUACUAUACAGCCUAAGAAACAUGAUUUUAACUUACGUGUUAUAGUUUGUCUGAACGCCAGCCAGAAGGUUUAGAUAAGGCGUCAGCAACCACUCCUUGCAAGGAUAACCACUGUCUCCUAGAAGGUAGGAUCCAGCUGGGACAUAGUUUUGUUCAAAAAGUGCCUUCAAGCCAGACUCGUCCAAUAUCCUGGCAUCAUGUACUGAGCCAGGCCACCGUCCCAAAACAUCAAGUAUCAUGUACUUGGCAUCGAAUACGACUUGCACGUUGAUGCUGUGGUAUCGUUUUCUAUUUACAUAUAAAUGUUCAUCGACACUGGGAGCCACAAUUCUAAUGUGUGUGCCAUCUAUGGUACCCACAACACCGGGAAACCUAUAGUCUUCCAUGAACUCUUCUUGUUUCACUUGCACUUCUUGGCGAGUCAAUGGGAAUUUUACAAAUUGAGUUACAAUAUCUGAGUAAUGACACGGCUGAUUGUUGCUUGCGAGGUCCCAAAGUCGUCACUGCUGCACUGUUGCAUUUUACCCGUGGCCAAAUAUCUUAGGGUAAUUGCCACCUUCGUCUCAGGACUCAGUGGUCGAUUCCGUUCUGUUCCGGAUUGAAGUUUGUCCCUCACUAAAUCAGCCACUGUUAUUAUACCAGCACGGUUCAUCCUGAAGCGUUUGAUGAGUUCGUCGUCAUUGUACUCGUGGAAUACGUCCCGUCGCUGUCGAUACACUCGCUGUCGUCUUUGUAGUUGUUGUUGCUCCGCCAUCUUCUCUACUAAUAGGAAUUUGUUGCUCCGCCAUCUUCUCUACUAAUAGGAAUUUGUUAAGAGUUUAAUAGUCCUCCACAGCACUUUUACCUUAAUUAACAGUACUUUUAAGGCCCUAACAAGUUUUCUGUAUCCACUGUUAGUGCUUAACAGCUAAAUGUUAGCCUUAACAGGAAAUUGUUACCCUUAACAGCUAUUUGUUAGUGCUAACAAGUUUUUUGUAUACGGGCCCUGGCUAAUAAGUGGCGCAUAGUCCAUAACCCUCUCAAUGUUAACGUUGACUUUGCUGAAGACAUAAUAAAGGCAUGUUGUAUAUUACAUAACUAUGUAAGGUCAAGAGAUGGUUACAAGUACGACAACUUACCUGUAUUACAUUAAACCAGUAUUUUUUAGUAAAUGGUUUGUCAUUUGAAAGUACAGCGGAGGGAGGGGACGUCAGAAAUCGCUAUAGCCAUGAAAAAGAGAUGACAAAUGCCAAUUUUCUUAGAAAUAUAGGUAGGAAAACUCUUUCACAAGUUGAGCGUCGACUGUACAUGCUGCACAGACUAAAGUCCCUGAGGACACCGGCAGAAGAAUUGCUGGAGUGUGUAUCCCACCUUCAUCCUCCUUAAACUCAUGUUUGUCUCCCCAGCGUGGUCUUCUCUCAGCUCCACUCAACAACAGUAGCAGGAGAAUGUGCUAAAUAUGGCUUGCAGGAUCAUUGUUGGUCCUGCCUACACCAUCCAGGAAGACACCCUGACCACCGUAAAUCAGCCUAAGCUGUAUACCAGACACCAAGAAAAGGGGGGGCAUGCUGCAUCACCCACUCCUGCACUACUCGCUCUCCCUAUAACGCAGCUCGCCCGAUCCGUGCCCCCUAAAGACACAACGCACGGACCGAUACUGCCUUAGUGCGAUUCCCACCAGGGUCUAGUCUAGUCCUACGCCUCUCCCCU